rnacentral:rRNA from 1 species
UACCCAUGUCCAGGAUGAAGGUAAGGUAAUACUUACUGGAGGUCCGAACCCACGCACGUUGAAAAGUGCGGGGAUGAGGUGUGGGUAGCGGAGAAAUUCCAAUCGAACUUGGAGAUAGCUGGUUCUCUCCGAAAUAGCUUUAGGGCUAGCCUCGAGGUAAAGAGUCAUGGAGGUAGAGCACUGUUUGGACUAGGGGCCCUUCUCGGGUUACCGAAUUCAGAUAAACUCCGAAUGCCAUGUACUUAUACUCGGGAGUCAGACUGCGAGUGAUAAGAUCCGUAGUCGAAAGGGAAACAGCCCAGACCACCAGUUAAGGUCCCCAAAUAUAUGUUAAGUGGAAAAGGAUGUGGGGUUGCUUAGACAACCAGGAUGUUGGCUUAGAAGCAGCCACCAUUGAAAGAGUGCGUAAUAGCUCACUGGUCGAGUGACCCCGCGCCGAAAAUGUACCGGGGCUAAACAUAUUACCGAAACUGUGGAUGAACCUCUUCGGAGGUUCGUGGUAGGAGAGCGUUCUAAGGGCGGUGAAGUCAGACCGGAAGGACUGGUGGAGCGCUUAGAAGUGAGAAUGCCGGUAUGAGUAGCGAAAGAAGGGUGAGAAUCCCUUCCACCGAAUAUCUAAGGUUUCCUGAGGAAGGCUCGUCCGCUCAGGGUUAGUCGGGACCUAAGCCGAGGCCGAUAGGCGUAGGCGAUGGACAACAGGUAGAGAUUCCUGUACCAGUGCUAAUUGUUUAACCGAUGGGGUGACACAGAAGGAUAGGGAAUCGCACGAAUGGAAAUGUGCGUCCAAGCAGUGAGUGUGAGAAGUAGGCAAAUCCGCUUCUCGCGAAGCAUGAGCUGUGAUGGGGAAGGAAAUUAAGUACGGAAGUUCCUGAUUUCACGCUGUCAAGAAAAGCCUCUAGGAAGAGUAGUACUGCCCGUACCGCAAACCGACACAGGUAGAUGAGGAGAGAAUCCUAAGGUGAGCGAGAGAACUCUCGUUAAGGAACUCGGCAAAAUGACCCCGUAACUUCGGGAGAAGGGGUGCUCUAUUAGGGUGCAAGCCCGAGAGAGCCGCAGUGAAUAGGCCCAGGCGACUGUUUAGCAAAAACACAGGUCUCUGCAAAACCGUAAGGUGACGUAUAGGGGCUGACGCCUGCCCGGUGCUGGAAGGUUAAGAGGAGUGCUUAGCUUCGGCGAAGGUACGAAUUGAAGCCCCAGUAAACGGCGGCCGUAACUAUAACGGUCCUAAGGUAGCGAAAUUCCUUGUCGGGUAAGUUCCGACCCGCACGAAAGGCGCAACGAUCUGGGCACUGUCUCAACGAGAGACUCGGUGAAAUUAUAGUACCUGUGAAGAUGCAGGUUACCCGCGACAGGACGGAAAGACCCCGUGGAGCUUUACUGCAACCUGAUAUGGAAUGUUUGUACCGCUUGUACAGGAUAGGUAGGAGCCGAAGAGACGUG